AGGACGAACGCUGGCGGCGUGCUUAACACAUGCAAGUCGAACGGUGAAGCCCUUCGGGGUGGAUCAGUGGCGAACGGGUGAGUAACACGUGAGCAAUCUGCCCUUGACUCUGGGAUAACUUCGGGAAACCGGAGCUAAUACCGGAUAUGACGCACGGCCGCAUGGUCUGUGUGUGGAAAGAUUUAUUGGUCAGGGAUGAGCUCGCGGCCUAUCAGCUUGUUGGUGGGGUAAUGGCCUACCAAGGCGACGACGGGUAGCCGGCCUGAGAGGGCGACCGGCCACGACUGGGACUGAGACACGGCCCAGACUCCUACGGGAGGCAGCAGUGGGGAAUAUUGCGCAAUGGGCGAAAGCCUGACGCAGCGACGCCGCGUGAGGGAUGAAGACCUUCGGGUCGUAAACCUCUUUCAGCAGGGAAGAAGCGAAAGUGACGGUACCUGCAGAAGAAGCACCGGCUAACUACGUGCCAGCAGCCGCGGU
rnacentral:rRNA from 1 species